AGGAUCUCUUCGGAGUGAACUUAAGUGGAUUAGUGGCGGACGGGCGAGUAACGCGUGAGUAACCUGCCUUAGAGAAGGGGAUAGCCUUUGGAAACGAAGAAUAAUACCCUAUGAUAUGAUAACCUCGCAUGGGGCUAUCAUCAAAGAUUUAUCGCUCUAAGAUGGACUUGCGUCUGAUUAGUUAGUUGGUGGGGUAACGGCCCACCAAGACAGCGAUCAGUAGCCGGCUUGAGAGAGUGUACGGCCACAUUGGGACUGAGACACGGCCCAGACUCCUACGGGAGGCAGCAGUGGGGAAUUUUGCACAAUGGGGGAAACCCUGAUGCAGCGACGCCGCGUGAUUUAGAAGGCCUUCGGGUUGUAAAAAUCUUUUCUAUGGGAAGAAAAUGACAGUACCAUAGGAAUAAGGACCGGCUAAUUACGUGCCAGCAGCCGCGGUAAUACGUAAGGUCCGAGCGUUGUCCGGAAUCAUUGGGCGUAAAGGGUACGUAGGCGGGUAAGCAAGUUAGAAGUGAAAUCCUAUAGCUCAACUAUAGUAAGCUUUUAAAACUGCUCAUCUUGAGGUAUGGAAGGGAAAGUGGAAUUCCUAGUGUAGCGGUGAAAUGCGCAGAUAUUAGGAGGAAUACCGGUGGCGAAGGCGACUUUCUGGCCAUAACCUGACGCUGAGGUACGAAAGCGUGGGUAGCAAACAGGAUUAGAUACCCUGGUAGUCCACGCCGUAAACGAUGAGUGUUAGGUGUCUGGAGUAAAUCUGGGUGCCGCAGCUAACGCAUUAAACACUCCGCCUGGGGAGUACGCGCGCAAGCGUG
rnacentral:rRNA from 1 species